rnacentral:lncRNA from 1 species
AUGCUUUCUUAUGUUUCUGUCUACAUACCAGGGUACACAGGUUUUAUUCCAAAACUUGAAAAUGUAGUUGGAGAGACCUAUGGCAAUGCUACACGAAUACUGUUUGCCCAUCAGGCAAAGUUGCAACAGUUAAGACAGAGUGAAGUUGGCAUCCUUGGGCACAAGUAUCAUCUCAACAGAACAGGCAGACAGCCAUAUGAGCAACACAUAACAAGGCUGGCAGAAGACAGAAAGAGGAGCUAUGGUAAUGACUCUCAUUCUAAAGUUAUUGAAUACAGUUCAGAAUGGAAAACACGAAUGGAAGAAUUCCUUUUCCUUGCCAAAAAAGAAAUGAUGCCUUUUAAGGACUGAUAUCAAGUGAACACAGUGAUGCCACCAAAUGGUUUGGAUUUCAGAUGUAGUCAGUGUGGUGUAGUGGUCUGAUUCUAUAGACUCAGGUCUGAUUUCUCCCUUUGCUACUGAAAUCCACCUGGGCCCCUUCUACACUGCCAUAUAAAAUCCAGAUUAUCUGCUUUGAAUUGAAUUAUAUGGCAGUGUAGACUCAUAUAAUCUAAUUCAAAGCAGAUAAUGUGGAUUUUCUGCUUUGAUAAUCUGGAUUAUAUGGCAGUGCAGAAAGGGCCUGGGUGACCUUGGACGAGUCACACACUUUCAGUCCCAAAAAACGUUGUGAUUGGGUUGCCAUAAAUCAGAAAAAAUGUAAAAGUAUAGACGACAACAACUUAUCCUCCACAGUCAUUAUCACCCAUGUUGGCUAUGGAUGAGUUGCAGUCAAACACAUCUGGUAUAAAGUCUGGUAUAAAACUAUUUAAACUGGCACAUCUGGGAAAUAUGUGACCAUUGAAGGUUGUUUAAUUGCAUUUCUUUAUUAUCCUCCAUUGCAUUUAUGCAGCAUCAAAUGAUGAAUUUCUUUAGACCUAUUCCAUAUACAGUAAUUGGCUAUCCCUAUUGAGGCCAGUGAAAUGCAAAACAUGAAAAUGUCAGAGUAGGGUACCUGAGUCUACACUUUAUGAAAGAAAGAAGGGGAAUUUAAAGUGGCUCCUAAUUUCCAGAGCUAAUGCCAGUUUUAACAUAGCUUGUUACUUUGGUUCAAGACUAGAAAAUUCCUAAGCGAAUGGAAAUUAAUACUGAUAUUUAGCAAACACUUCAAAAUAGUUUAGAAUAAAACUUUAUAUUGUUUAUUUAUUUCUAUCCCACCUUUCUCCCAAGUCAGGACUCAAAGCAGCAAAUAUCAUAUGAAAGCAAAAAAGGCAUGUCAUAUAAUAAAAUGAACAACACCAUCAUAAAGAAACAUGUCUAAUAAACAAUUAUAAAAACUUAACAUGAUGUAAUUAGCAACUAGCACAACAUAAUUAAGCAACAAUAAAUUAAAAACCCCAUCUGAUAUCAAUUCAUUUAGACUUUAGUCGGGUCCAUUUCCAGAGGUCCAAUACGAGUCAUCCAUUGCGCACAAUACAUUUUAAAGAUUUUAAAAAUUUAGGGCUUUAGUAUCAACAUAGUAGUAUCUUAGGCUGGAUCUAUACUGCCAUAUAAUCCAGAUUGUCAAAUCAGAUAAUCUAGUUUGUCUGCUUUGAACUGGUUUAUAUGAGUCUGCAAUGCCAUAUAAUCCAGUUCAAAUCAGAUAAUCUGGAUUUUUUUUAUCGCGGAGCGGUGGGCAUAUUUUAAUGAAUUCCCAUGUCAACUGAAAUAACAUUUGAUGUCCUUGAACAAAUGUGACAUACUGUACUACUACAUUUUAAAAUGUUGUGCCGGAAAUGUAAUAAAUGAUAACUGAACUCUGGAAAUAAUAAUAAUAAUAAUAAUAAUAAUAAUAAUAAUAAUAAUAAUAAUAAUAACAACAACAACAACUUUAUUUGUAGACCACCCUCUUCCCCCUAGGGGAAAAUGUGAGCAUACAUUCCUUUGUUAUUGUUCUGUCAUGUCUGAAAAAUGGCAACCUUCUCACAGGGUUAUUUUAUCAAGAUACGUUUUGCCAUUGCCCUUCUCUGAAGUGGAGAGAGUGCAACUUGCCCAAGGUUACC